UGCGUAGGCGGCUUUUUAAGUCGGAUGUGAAAUCCCUCGGCUCAACCGGGGAACUGCGUUUGAUACUGUCGAGCUAGAGUCCUGGAGAGGGUGGCGGAAUUCCUGGUGUAGGAGUGAAAUCCGUAGAUAUCAGGAGGAACACCGGUGGCGAAGGCGGCCACCUGGACAGGUACUGACGCUGAGGUACGAAAGCGUGGGGAGCAAACAGGAUUAGAUACCCGUGUA
rnacentral:rRNA from 1 species